UGCGGGUGUCGCCCAGCCUGGCCAAAGGCGCUAGCUUGAGGGGUUAGUCUCUUAGGAGUUCGUGGGUUCAAAUCCCACCACCCGCAUCUA
rnacentral:tRNA from 1 species